AAAAUGGUUUUAUUCCGACAUUCUAUCGUAUCUAAGUUCAACAUAAAAGAUAAGAUAUAAUCAAUUUAAGCUAUUACAUAAAAGGUAAGUAUUUUACCAGAUAAGAAGUUGAAACUAAACCGACACAAAGUGUAAGGAUCUUAUAACCAUAGAGUGUAAGGAUCUCCUCAUAAAAUGGAUGGAAAAGAAGAUCAAAGCUCGAAAAAAGAAGUUAACUUUAACACAUAUGCGACAAAGAAAACAAUUGCGAAAGGAUUGUUUGAUAUUGGAUUAUUGAUGAGCAAUGCGUCACAGCUAAAAUCCGUCCUAAAUUACGGCUCGUCCUGGAACUAUUACUACCCGGUUAUAGUGAUGAUAUGUGCAUCAUUAUUCCUGCAAUUCUUGGUCGGAAUAAUGUUACUAGUGCUUGGACGAAUGGUUUUUGAAACUGACGAAGGGAAAAGGCGUGCCAACAAUCUUAAUAAUGUUACGGUCGGGUUUGUAGGUGUUAUAACAGUCUUGAAUAUUUUCAUUGGUUCAUUUGGCCUGCAGAUGUCGGGAGAUCAGUGACCAAGUUUGUAAACAAACAGAAAAAAACACUAUAAAUUACGUUUCUCAAAAAAAAAUAUUGUCGCCUACAGCACCAGAUUUAUAUAUAAAAAUAGACAUAUCUACCUGGAUAUCUAUAUAACUCAUCAACACAUUUAAUUCUGGUGAAUAUAUUGAAUUAACUUGAAGAAUAGAUGCAUGUUUGGUUACAAAUAAUUUAUUAUCGUCAUACAUUACAUUCUUACUUCAUCUACUGACACGUGACAUUUAUGAUAACAGGCAUGUAUGAAGGAUCAAAUAUGAUAUGCAUGUAAGGUGAUAUAAGGAAACAUUGUUUAAUCACGAUGAACUUUCUGGUCAAGCAUAUUUGCUCUGACUCGGUCGAGAGAACUUUGUUUGAUUCAUUUACUUUUUAUACCGUUUUAUCGAAAGUUAUACAUUAUUGGAUUUCGACAGAAUAUUUGUACAGAUCUAAGAUAAUUGGAACAACGACAAUUUAAAGAUACAAAUUAAAACUAGAAUUAACUUACAAAAGCAGGAUCUAUAUGAAUGUAUGAUACUGAAAAUAAAUGUUAAAUUAAAGUUAAAAACAUUUUGAAUGGUCAGAUUUUUAAUUGAAUUUGCAAUAACACAAUUAAUUAUGAAUAUAUAUCAUAAAUAAACAGUUUUUUAUAUGAUGAAAAAUAUCGAAUAGUACAAUUAUAGAUUAGUCAGUUUUGAAAGGUACAAUAACAAAGAGCAGCAAAAUUUCAGAACAUGGUUUAUUGAUAUGUUUGUGGUACUUAUAGUUUUUACUUUAUGCAGGAAUCAUAACCUCUGACCCCCUUUCAAAAUUCAUUUUUAUUUUUUCCCGCUAUUGAUUUCUCGUUUAGGGCACACGCAUUCAUUUACUUGGGGACCAUAUGCCGGUUUUCAUGGAAUGUCACGAAAGUGUCACAUUGAAGGUUCCAUGAUAACCGACGUAUGAACACAUUUUUGAAUGGUUCUAAAUUCAAGAUUUCACCAUUACCAUGAUUAGAUGUUGAAUUCUGCUUAAGUCGGUGCUAGGGGGCGUGGACGGUAACUUACACUUUCCAUUACCGUCUAUGAACAGGCUCAAUCAAACCGAGUCUGCAACAUUUUCAAUUUUGUCUUGUUGGGCUUUCUUCAGGGAUUCUUUAUUACUUGGUGAUAUAAUAGUGCUUGGAGAAAUUAUCACAGCUAUUAUAGUGUAUACUGUAACAUUUCGAAACAACAUGAAAAAGUAAAAUGCUAUUCAGAAAACAAUAAUCAAUUCAUACAGUUUAAAUGAACCACUGACACGAAGACACGAAAUGUCAGAAAUCAACCACCAUAUUUCAAGGAGAAGAUAAGUUGUGAAAACCUGAAAUACUGGAUGAAAAAAGGAAGGCUAAAGAAAUGUUAUAUUUCAAUUACGUGACCUUUAUUUUGAAUACUAAGCAUCAAUUCUUUUGUCAAUGAAUUUUUUUUCAACUUUUCCAUGCUUUUGUUUUAUCGGACAUAGAUUUAAAAUCAGAUAUUUAAACUCAGAUUUUUGUUUUUGUUUUCAAUUACAUUAUUUUUUUAUAAACUAAUUCAUUCUUUGAACAAAUUUGAUUCCAAUUCUGUGAAAUAAAUUCUUUUACACGAAAUACUUACACUUUUGAAAUGUACAUUGAGUGUUGUUAUGCUACACGAGAAUACCAUUUUGCACAUUGUGAGUUACGUUCUGUUAGUCUCCUUCAGCGUCACUUGAGGGACCUUUCGAGGGUUUGAGUUGUGACUGAGAUUAAGUAUCGUUUCUGAAUACGGGCUCAAGACAUAUUGAUAUUGGGUCAAAAUAUAAGUGCGAAUUGAAUUGAGUUUGACGGAUUUUGAGGACGAACGAUUCAGUUAUUUUACCAACAGUAAAAAACGUCCGUUAAGCUGCGGUCUCACUUACUCCCGUCAGGGACCUGGAUCACCCCGGUAAGUUACUGGGAUGAUCCGAGGUGAAAUUAUUGUUACGGUCACACAUACCCCGGCAGCACUACGCUAAUUCCCAACUUACCAUCCAGGAUGCACUCCGGACCAUCCAGGCAGAGCCCAGGUGAAACUACGGUUUAUGCCGGUUCUUCCCCGGUUGUUCCCGGAUGACGCCGGAAGAGCUCCGGUUGACCCAAGCAGAGCCCAGGACGAUCCAGGCAGAGCCUCGGAAAUACCCUGGUGGUUUUAAAACUCGCGAAAAUGAUUACAUUAAUACAUGAUUGUUAUUUAAUAUAAUAUCUAUUGUUUCAGAACAAUUAUUCAUGAUGAUUUUCUGAAACAAAAAAUCCUUAUGCAAGACUGGACAGAAGGAAAAUGGGAAGGGUUUUAAUAUAAACAAGUGCAAUCAUCGUAAAUUGUCUUGAUUCUUUUUAAAUGAACCGGGCUUUGCCGGGCUCUUCCAGAAUCAACCGUAGCUCCAUCGUCAUCCUCUUGGGAUCUGCAAGCAUUCAACGGGGCUAUACCGUAGCUCUACCGGCUAUAUCAUACCCCGGAUCAUCCCGGGUUUUUGCCGGCUGUGCUACGGUGCUUCCCCGGUCGUCCCCGGCAGAGCUAAGGUUGAAGCCGGCAAAGUUAUACUUCCCGGAUCAUCCCGGACCCCCCCCACCCCCGUCCCCCGAUGAUAUGAAAUAUUUUAUUCCGUCCGAGGUCGAAUUCCGGAUGUUCCCGGAUCAUCCCGGACGUUGCCGGCAGAGUUACGGAUGUACUGCGGUUGUUCCCAGUUGUACCCCGUUCUUCCCCGUACGUCUACCGCGGCUCUGCCGGGAUUUAAGUGAGACUGUAGCUGUAUAUAUCAAAUAAUAAAUAUAUGUAUAUAAAUAAUUUGUUGAAUCUAAUCCAAUCUUAAUUAUGUAUUCAUAAUUUGUCUAAUUACUUAUUAAAACUAACCUAUUUGUUUAAAGGCACUUAAUGAUAUUUUUUUCUUUUGCUUUCUGGUAAAAGUACCAAUUGUAAACAUAAGUCGCCCUGUACAUACAAUCAGGGAUGUUAUAUUUCCGAAAGUUUAACUCGACAUUAUUGGUGUGUGUGUGUGUUAUUUCAGUUCUUUCUACUUGGGUGGUUCCAUUUUUUUUACUUGAAAACUGUAUAAUCACCCUUAUGAUAUAUGUGGCCUGCUUUUUAAAUUGGUCUUUUGACCGCUUAUCUGUGAUAUACAGGCUUUCAUAACCUCUGAUCCCUUUUCAAAAUUCCAUUUUGUUUAGUUCCUCCCAUUGUUUUCUCGUUUAGGGCACAAUCAUUUUUUUUACCUGUGCCGCUUUUCUUGGAAUGGCACUAACGCCUUACGUGUCACAUUGAAGGUUCCGAGAUCACCGCCGUAUGAACACAUCUGCGGAUGUAUCUUUAUUCAAAAUUUUACCAUUACAUGUUUUAAUGUUGAAUACUGCUUAAGCCGGUGCUAGGGGAGUGAACAGGAGCUUGCACUUUCCAGUACUAUCAUGAACAGGCUCAAUCAAACCAAGCCUUCAGCAUUUUCAAUUUUGCCGUUUUGGACUUUCUUUAGAGAUUGAAGGAGUUUUUGAAAAUAAAAAUGAUAGCAUUUUAAUGAUAAUAAUACUAACUUUAUUUACAAAAGGUAACACAUUAAGACAUAUACAGAUUGUAACACCUUAUUUACAAUGCGGCCAUCUAACUUUAAAA